GCGGAAGCUAGUAUGACCAACACUUCCUAAACCUGAUGAAAAAGACAUUUUCCUGAGUCCCACCCCCAGAAAUGAUGAUCUUUUUUGUCUUUACACCUGUUCACCUGUCUGAAGUCCGGGAAUCACUCAUCCAGACUUCCAGCACCUCUAUCAUUCAGAUACAAAGGACCAACUAGACGAUACACGAUCCAGAUUCAGGAUGAGGAUAUUCCUAAACCAACUGAAGUCUCCCAUUUUAACCCGAAAGAACAUGUGGGAGACACAGCUGCCGGUUCACUUGGGGAGAAAUAUAAGAACAGAAGUUGUGUCUCCCUCUGCACAGGCCCCACCAUAGCAGGCGCUCGGCACAGAAUGACACAGGGAGUGACUGUCCUCGGGGUAGUCCACCAUCUCUGUGUUAUCUCUAGCAGACGUUGCUUCCGUUCUUACAAGUCACCCUCUGGGGUAAACUAGACAUUUACAAGCCGUGAAAGCCGUUAACAAAAUAUUGUCUGCUACAGUGCCUUGUCUUUAUUUGGCAAGGGAAAUUUGGACACAAAAACACACAUGCAGGGAAGAAGAUGGGGAGCUGUACCAGGAGAAGCGCCAUGUGACGAUGGAAGCAGAAGAAUUGAGGGUAAUUGCUUCUGGGGAGUAAGGACUUGCGUUAGUGAGCACUCUAAUGCCAUCUGAGUGUUUAAACUGUGUAUACGUGUUCUUCUGAUAAAAAUGAAAAUUAAAUUUCAAAAAUAAGCAA